rnacentral:rRNA from 1 species
ACAUGUGGAGCGCUUAGAAGUGAGAAUGCCGGUGUGAGUAGCGAAAGACGGGUGAGAAUCCCGUCCACCGAUUGACUAAGGUUUCCAGAGGAAGGCUCGUCCGCUCUGGGUUAGUCGGGUCCUAAGCUGAGGCCGACAGGCGUAGGCGAUGGAUAACAGGUUGAUAUUCCUGUACCACCUAUAAUCGUUUUAAUCGAUGGGGGGACGCAGUAGGAUAGGCGAAGCGUGCGAUUGGAUUGCACGUCUAAGCAGUAAGGCUGAGUAUUAGGCAAAUCCGGUACUCGUUAAGGCUGAGCUGUGAUGGGGAGAAGACAUUGUGUCUUCGAGUCGUUGAUUUCACACUGCCGAGAAAAGCCUCUAGAUAGAAAAUAGGUGCCCGUACCGCAAACCGACACAGGUAGUCAAGAUGAGAAUUCUAAGGUGAGCGAGCGAACUCUCGUUAAGGAACUCGGCAAAAUGACCCCGUAACUUCGGGAGAAGGGGUGCUCUUUAGGGUUAACGCCCAGAAGAGCCGCAGUGAAUAGGCCCAAGCGACUGUUUAUCAAAAACACAGGUCUCUGCUAAACCGUAAGGUG